ACUUGGACACAAGGCAACAGGCCCAGAUCCUAACAGGGCAACUGGAACUGAUCAACCCCUUUUGGCCAAUUCCUUCACAAAAGCUCAUCAGCAAUGGAAUCAGCCGGACUUCCCUUGAAAUCUAAGUACUACAGAGGAAGUUUUUGUCUUGUGGUCAAAGCUGAGACUAUAGACUAUCCCAUCCAUCCACUCUCUUCAAUAAUUAGCAGUCAUAUCAUCAGAAGAGAAUGGAUACUGUACUUCCAGCAGUGAUGGGGGCAGAGAAGCUCUUGGAGAGUUAGCUACUGGGCAACAGUAGUAGCAGUGGUGAAAAGUGACCCGGGAAGCAAAUCUUUCACAGCUAAUUCUUGUUAUUACUGUGCAGAAAAUGGUAAAUUAUUUCUAAAUAUUUGAUACCUUGAAAAUCCUACUAUGAGAAAAAUGUCCUUUGAAAAUUCUCCACUCAGUUUGCUGGCCGCUAGUGAAACAGUUUGUUUAGGUCUACAGAAGGGAAACAGCAAUGAUGAUGACAAUGACAGCGAUGAUGAUGGUGAUGUUGAUGAUGUGUCCGGGAAUGUAGUUCCUUGCUCAGAACCUGUAGGUGUUCUCAUCUACAGCCCUUCCUCAGAAACCACAAUAGGUGCGAAUGUGACACUGGAAUGCAACUUAACAACCAAUUGUCUGCCAAUCAACUAUACUUUGUUCUUUGAAAGAUGUAAUAUCAAAGGCAAGGCAAUCAAGAAAAAGGCGAAGGAAAAUAUUGUGUUUAAAUUAACCAUCAACUCCAGAAGUGAACUUGGUGAAUAUAAAUGCAAAGCUCAGUACCUAUUUAAUAAUACAUUCAAAGCCAAAUACAGUUCUGGUUUCAACUUUACCCUAAAAGCUUUCCUCCCAGCAUCCACAGAAGACAAGAACAGACUGGUAGCGUUAAUUGUUGCUCCUUUGCUUCUGUUGCUGCUGCUACUCACAGUUGUCAUAACGUUUCCCUUGCUAAUCCUUCCUUGGUGUAAAGCAAGUAAGUAUGGCAGGGGAAAAGGGAAGUCAGCCAGCAAGCCCACUAGUUAUGUAUCAGCUCAUUAUCCAAGUCCAGGAAACUGUGGAAUUUAUGAUGAUGCUGCAUAUGGAGAAGAGGAAGCAACUAAUUAUUGUGAUGUGAGAAUUAAGGUCAAGGUGGAAGACAGCAGAAAGGGUAAAAUCUUCUGUUUGGGAAACUGAUCAAAACCAGGCUGAAUACAAAUAAAUGCUCACUGAAGACACUAGAGUGACCUACGCAGAAAUCUUAAAUAGAAGAUAAAAGAGGGCUCUGUCUCAGAUGCUCCACUCCUUCCCUCUCUCGGGCUGAAAUAAAGAACUUCCUAGAAAACUCAGCAACAUAUCAGAAAUGGAGUUUCAUGGCUUUCACUGUAAAAAAUGGAGAAGAGCCACUCAGAAAGGAAGAUACAAAAUUGUCUUUUAAUGUUGCUCAUACAUCUUUAGCUGCUGAAAUGUAUUUUGUUAAAAAGUCCUUUAAUCUUGAUA